GUACGUAGGGUGCGAGCGUUGUCCGGAUUUAUUGGGCGUAAAGAGCUCGUAGGCGGCUUGUCGCGUCGGUUCGUGAAAACCCGGGCGUCACUUACCGGCGUGCGGCGAUACGGGCAGGCUAGAGUUCGGUAGGGGAGACUGGAAUUCCUGGUGUAGCGGUGAAAUGCGCAGAUAUCAGGAGGAACACCGGUGGCGAAGGCGGUUCUCUGGGCAUUACCUGACGCUGAGGAGCGAAAGCAUGGGGAGCGAACAGG
rnacentral:rRNA from 1 species